ACCUAUUGAGGAGGUACUUCAAUUUUGAUAUGUUGAGUUAUUUAUCAGCUCUUCUUUUUCAUAGAAAUCAAAUGUGCUUGCACUCUUAAUAUGAGAAGUAUGGUGACCAUACCAAUUUCUAAAAUAAUAAUAAUAUAAUGGUGAGCGUCUUUAUGUGUACACGUUAUAAGUCUAGUAAUAUCAAUAUUUUUAGUACUACUUAAUUAACUUCAGGUAUUUUUUUUGAUAGAAGCACAAAGAAGAGACAAAAAUCCCGUCGUUUCAAUUUGUUUGUUCUACUUUCCUUCUUAGUCCGUUUAAAAAAGAAUGCCUCUUUUCUACUUAGCAACUCUUUAAUUCCAACUUUCCAGAACAUUAAAGGGGAUUUGGUACAUUUGACAUACCUUUAAUUUUAGACUACAAGAUUCAAAAGUCUUCUUUACUUUCUAACUCCGUGCCAAGUCAGAAUAGGACAAACAAUUAUAAAUAGAGGGAGUAAUUGUUAUCUAUUUCGAUUGAGAGGAAUGAUAGAUGUCUCAAUGACAAGAUAAACAACAUAGAGCAGAUUAAAUAUAUAUGUACCUAUGGUGCAGGAAGAAUCUUUUUCCAGGCUAGUUAAACUAGUUUAUUCUCUUUGGCCAGCCGGCUUGUUGCAACCUGUUAUAUGGGAAUUGGGUAUAAAACUGUUUUUUUUUCAAUGGUAACUAUAAAAAAGCUUUCUUUUGUGUAUAGGAAUUAAAGAAAUGGGUUUUCAUCGUUGAGAGUGAGCUCUUUUCUUCCUUUACUACACUUUGGAACUGUUUCUCUACAUAUCCAAGGAUGUUAGCUAGGCUUGAUUUCUGAAGAAUGAAAAUGUUUACUGAUAGUGCGGAAUAGGCUUGAAUUGUAAUAAUUUUUGGUGUAGUAUUUGAUUGUUAAAAGAAAAUAAAGAACACGGAGUGAGAUCCAUGCGUUUCAGGAGUGAACUACCACUAUGGAAGAUUCCUUAAGGCUCCCUAUGACCUUUUUAUUUUCUCAUGGUUUCUACAAAAGGAGGAGAUUAAAAAAAGGAAAAUUUCUACAAAACCAAAUAUUUUAAAGAUGGAAGACAAGUAUUCUUGAGUUGAUCACAUCAUUCAGAAUGAGACCAUUUCUACAAAAACGAUUUCUCUAUAAGAUAAUAGUUCUUUUUUCAUUAUUGGAUUGAAGUAGAUCUUUCGAGGGAUAUAUCUUUGGAAUUUGGUAGAUGUUUUGUGGGAUACUUGAAAUAAAGGUGCUUUCUGUUGUUGAGAUCCUUUUUAAAUGUAAGUUCAUCUACAACUAUUGAAAUCCGUGAUCUAAGCUCCUAUUGGAUUGAUGACAAAUUGAUUAUGCGGUAUAUGUACCUUUAGUCUUUAAAGUAAGACCUUAGCUGUUGUAGCCAAAUUUGAACUGUACUCUUUGUAAAUCCAAAAUAUGGUGUUCAUAGGCAAAGUGCAAGGGGAAAUCCAAGCAAUCAUUUUCAUUUAAAUGUACUCAAGAAUGUCGUUGUACAACCUGUCUGCUUAGUGAAUCCAGUAAUGCAACCACUUAUGUUUUCAUGCCAUGAAUUGUGCUCAACUGCUCAUAUGGAAGAACAUGGUUUUGAAAGCACUAAAAUAUCUGACAUUUUGAGAGACAAGGGUAAAGGCACUAAUGAUUCUCGGCUCUGGUACACUACAUAUGAUACUCUAUAUGAUGUUGUGCAAUCAACUAGUAUCUUCAUGUUUUGUCUAAACUGACUUUGCAUCUCACCGUUGACAUUGCACACUUAGUAAUUUCACAUAUAGACAAUAUUAAAAGUAACCACAUUUGGCAGAAAGUGCAAGUUAGCACACAAUUAUAAGAAAAUGGUUUGGUCAUGUCUUGCAUAGUCACCUCUAGAUACACCAGUCAAUAAGUGUAAAAUCAUGGUGAGUGAAUGUGUUGAAAAGGAACUAGAUAGACUUAAUAUCACAUGGAAGGAAGUUGCUUAGAUAGACCUACAAUCUCUUAGAAUCCACAGUAGAACUAGAGAAAAAUAAGGCAUGUUGGAGAAAUAUAUCUAUAUAGUCUAUGCCAAAUUGUUUUUCUCCCUAUUCGAAAGUUGAGAUUAUUUUUUAGUUAUUAGUAUGCUUACUUUAAGUCAUAUGUUCUCUAGGAUUCUUUUAGUCAUGUUAGAGAUUUAUAUACCAGUAAAAAUUAAAGUUUAGUACUCUUUAUUUUGUAUGUUAUUAUCCAAGAUGAAAUUUAAUAAAGUGACAUGAUCAUAUAGUCGAUCCCAGGCUCCCAGCUUGUUAAUUCUUUGUUUUUUUGUUUUUUUUUUGUACUUUAAUUCUCCUUAUUAAUUCUUAGGUAUGGUAACUGAUAUGUUUCUAAUCCACUUACGAGUCUAGGGAUGUAAUGCUGGUUCUAUUAUGAGAACUUUGGUUGCAUAGAUUCAUAUGGCAUAACAUAAUGUCAGAGCUUUUGUCGUUGUGAAUCUUGGGAAAAUAAGUCAACAACAACAUACCCAGUGUAGUCCCACAAAAAUUUUCUAGGAAGGGUAGAGUAUACGUAGGCCUUACCCCUACUUCAGAGAUAGAGAGGUUGUUUAGACCCUCGACUCAAGAAAAAUUCAAUCCAAAGCAUUCCUGAGAAAAUAAGUCAACCACUACAGAAAGAGGUAUCAACCACUUUUAAAAGAAAUUGGUGUCUUCUUUAUCACCUUUAAAAGUUGGUGAUGCUACCUCUCUACUUAUCUAUAGGAGUUUUGAACUUUGAAAUUUUUCCUUGAUCAUGUCUCCACCAUGGCAGAUCUCGGUUGAAGGCAAGGGGGUUCCUCCACCGGAAAAUAUAGUGUAUAUAGGGUCAAAUUUUUGUUUUUUGUAUAUAUAUUAAAUGUUGAAUCCUCUUGAUACAAGCCAAAAGCUCAACUCAUUAGUAACUGGGGUUCAACUUCUCUUAGAGAACACAGGUUCAAUUCUUGCUAACUACAACUUUAAUCUUUUUAACUCUAGGCGCUCUUUUUUUUGUUUUGGAACCAUCAUGGAAAAAAUCCCACUUCCGCCACUAGUCUCACAUGUAAUUUAUCAUAGUUGUCUUUAAACAUUUUUCUUAUCGCGGUGGUGUUCGGACCAUCUUUUGCACACCUUGACUAUUCUACUGAGUACCUCUUACCUCCUAACAGAGUUACCGGGUAACUCUGACUACCAAAUAUGUUUAGUUGUCUUUUAACGCAUUAAGUUUUCUAUGGAAUAUUGAAUCAUAUGGACACUAUAAGAUAGGAAUAAUAUAUACCUAAUUUCUUCUGAAUUAUGGUUUAUCGGUGUGAUCCUGAUCUGUCACAAAUCACACCCAAGGGUGUGACUUAGUGGUCAAUAAAGUUGUUGAGAAUCUCGAGGUCUCCGGUUCAAAACUCAUCGAAGACAAAAAACACUAGGUGAUUCUUUCCAUCUGUCCUAGCCUUGGUGGACGGAAUUACUUGGUACCUGUUGGUGGCAAGUAUCCAUGGAAUUAGUCGAGGUGUGUGAAAGCUGGCCCGGACACCACGAUCAUAAAUAAAAAUGAUCUAUGACAAAUCUAACCUUGCCUCUUGAAUCAUUUGAAUGUUAGCUGUGAUUUUUCUUGCUUCUCCUUCAUUAACGUAAUAAAGUACACCUGAGCUGAAGGUCUUUUCGGAAACAGUCUCUCUACCUUCACGAGGUAGUGGUAAGGUCUGCGUACAUUCUACCCUCCCCAGACCUCACUUGUGGAUUUCACUGGGUAUGUUAUUGUUUUUGUGUUAUAGUGCUGGUAACUUUAGUUACAGUGAUGACGAGUAGAGUUUUUCAUGAUCAUGUCUCCACGUGUAGCUUCAUCAUAGUAGUCGUUAAGAUUUUUAGUUGUCUAUGGAAUAUUGAAUCAUGUGGACACUAUUAGAUAAGAGUAAUAUAUAUCUAAUUUCUUCUACGUUUUGGUUUUUCAGUGUGAUCAUGUUUCGUCACAAAAUUAACCUCAUAUCUGGAGUCUGGAAUCAUUUGGAUGUGAAUUGUCAGAUGUGAUCUUAUGGUAAUCUAAUUCUCUUUCUUUUCUUCUUUUUAAGCAAGGUCACUGAGUGUAUUUCCCAAUGACUAUUUUAUUUAUUUAUCAAAAGUAAUUUACAUCUAUGAACUGCUUCAAUGGAUUUCUGCUUCCACGUAUGAGUGAAUGAGAUUUUUUGUUGUUUUUCAUGCCCUUUGAUUGAUGCUUGACUCGAUUUUGUUCAGAUCUAGUUAGCCACUGUUUGGUCACAUAUGGAUUUAUCUUCUUAUUUCUCUGUUGUCAGCUUCUCCCUUGAUGUCAGCUUCUCUGUUCUAGUUGUCUAAGGUAUGAACUGAUUUGUUGCAUUUUUGUAUUUUUCCGUAUGUUCAAGUAAGAUGUAUGAGUUGGUGUAUCUGAUGAUUUGUGUGUACUUUGAUUUGGGCUUCUACAAAAUUCAGUGAAUUUUCGUACAAUAGAAUGAGCAUCUACUGAUGCCAAUACCACACAUCGUACAAUCACCCACCGAUUUAGUAUUUUCUCAAAAAUAUGAUUCCUGUUAUGUGUUUGUUGUACAUGUCUGUGAAUGUCCCCAUUUCUGGGUUUAUUGUCCUGCAUUGGCUUUUCUUUGUUGUUUUUGUUGUUCUUACUCUGAUGAGCUUUAUAUGUUUGUAUAUGCAGUGUUCGCAUCUUUAACUGUCUUGCCUUGCAAAAAUGAGCAAACUGUUAGCAUAAAAAAACAUUUUCCCUGUUCUCCUCUCAUAGGAUUUGAACUAAAGAGCUUUCUCCUCCUUUUUGUGCUAUCUGUCUCAUUUCCUGCAUGGUCUAACCCUGAGAUACGGCUCGUUCAACUUGUCACUGUUUAUCCAGAGCCAUAUUAGCUAGAUGAUCAGACAACUUGUUUCCUUCCCUGAGUAUGUCACCUCUUAGACUCAAAUGAAGAUAAACAUUAUUUCUUGGAAUGUAAGGGGGCUGAAUGGGGGGAGCAAAAUGAGUCUCAUUAGGAGUUUAACUAAACAGUGGGGGGCUGACGUCUAUGUCUUUGUAGAGACAAAGUUGAGGGGAGUUGACAAUGCUUUAUUUAAAGAGGUGUGGGCAAAUAGGUGGAUGGGUGGGUAGAAGUGGAGGGAUUGUAGUAAUGUGGGACAAAAGGGUAUUGGAAGGGGGAGCUAAUAGGGACUGCUGGUCAGAUGCUUACAUGUAAACUAGAAGGCAUAGUACAAAAUCUCACUUGGUUUUAAGUGCAGUUUAUGCUGACUGCAACCCAAUAAUAAGAAAGGAAAUAGUGGAGGGAGCUGACAACAAUUAGAAACUCCUUCGAAGGACCAUGGGUGGUGUGUGGCAACUUCAAUGUUACAAGAUAUCCAAACGAAAGAACUGGCAGCCAUUAUCUGUCUGGAGAAAUGACAGAGUUCACUGACUGGAUCAACGAGAUGGAGUUAUUUGACCCUCCUUUAUUUAGAGGAUCUUAUACUUGGAGAAGGGGUGAGAACCACACAACAGCCUCCAGAAUUGAAAGAUUCCUCUACUCUAAUCAUUGGGAAGAAUUGUUCCCGCAAAUUAGACAAAGUGUGCUCCCGAGAGUAGGCUUUGAUCAUAGUCCAAUAGCUCUAAACUGUGGAAAGCUAAAUCUCAAGAAGACUUAUUUUAAGUUUGAGCAAUGGUGGAUGAGGGUGGAAGGGUUCAGAGAAAAAGUAAAAGAAUGGUGGGCAUCCUUCACUGUAAAUGGAACAACUUCUUUUAGGUUGGCAACAAAACUAAAGCUACUCAAAGGGAGAUUGAAGGAAUGGGAGCUGGAGAAUAGAGGCAACUAGAAACAUAGAAAGGAGGAUAUGUUGAACCAGAUUGCUAGUCUUGAAACUAUCCAGGAACAGAGAACACUCAAUGUGAAGGAGAGUCUACACAAAGCUAAGUUAUUCAAUGAGUUUGCAGAAAUUUCCAAGAAUGAGGAAAUAGCGUGGAGACAAAGGUCCAGGGUACAAUGGCUCAAGCAAGGGGAUAAAAAUACCAAAUACUUUCAGGAAAUGGCAACAUCACACAGAAGAUUCAAUACAAUCGAGAAGUUAGAAGUGGAAGGUGUGAUUAUUUCCGAACCAGAGGUGAUCAAGAACGAAGUUGUAAGCUUUUACCAGAAACUCUACAAGGAAUCAGAACAAUAGAGGCCACAUUUUAAUCUCCAAGGGAGUGAAAGCAUCAGUGUGGAGGGAAAAGAGUGGCUACAAAGACAAUUUGAGGAAGAUGAAGUCCUUGAGAUACUCAAGUUGUGUUCCAGUGACAAGGCCCCAGGUCCGGAUGGUUUCCCGAUGAGUUUUUAUCAAAGCUUGUGGGAAAUGCUUAAGGAAGACAUACUGAGCAUCUUGAGGCAAUUUCAUGAUCACCAAGUGUUUGAGAAGAGCCUAAAUGCAACCUAUAUGGCAUUGAUCCCAAAAAGGUGGGAGCUGUGGAACUAAGAGAUUUCAGACCUAUAAGCUUGAUAAGUGGAAUAUACAAGAUCAUUGCCAAGAUACUAGCAGAAAGGUUAAAGAAAAUGAUCAGUAAGCUUGUGAAUAAACACCAGAUGGCCUUCAUAAAAGGUAGGCAGAUCAUUGAUGCAACACUUAUAGCAAGUGAGUGUGUGGACACCAGAGUCAAAGGAGAUGAUCCAGGAAUUAUGUGCAAGCUGGACAUAGAGAAGGCUUAUGAUCAUGUCAAUUGGGGCUUCCUAAUCAUGAUUCUAAAACAAAUGGGUUUUGGGGAUAAAUGGCUGAAGUGGAUCGAUUAUUGCAUUAAAACUGUUAGGUUCUCCAUUUUAGUGAAUGGAGACCCUGUUGGUUUUUUCCCAUCAGAAAGGGGUCUAAGGCAGGAGACCCACUCUCUCCUUUCCUUUUCAUCCUAGCCAUGGAGGGCUAUAAUAGUAUGAUGAGAGUAGCUACCCAAAAUAAUUGGUUAAAAGGCUUCAAGGUCCGCAACUCUUCAAAAAGGGAAAUGCAGAUUUGUCAUCUGCUUUAUGCAGAUGACACCAUUAUUUUCUGUGAAGCCAAGGCUGAACAGGUUACCUUUAUAAGAAUGACUUUGGUGGUUUUUGAAGCAGUCUCGGGUUUAUCAGUAAAUUGGAGGAAAAGCAGCAUUUUUCCAAUUAAAGAAAUCCCUCAACUUCAGAGCCUAGCAAGGAUAUUGGGGUGUAAAGUAGAACAUCUUCCCACUACUUACUUGGGCAUGCCAUUGGGACACAAUCAUAAGGAGCUAGAAAUUUGGGACGGCAUAAUUGAAAAGACAGAGAAGAAAUUGGCCAAUUGGAAAGCUCAGUAUAUCUCUUUAGGAGGGAGAGUCACUUUAAUAAACUCUGUGUUGGACUCUCUUCCAACUUAUGUUAUGUCUUUAUUCCCUAUGCCUGCCAAAGUGGAAGAAAGACUUGACAAACUGAGAAGAGAUUUCUUGUGGAAAGGGAAUAAAGAAGGGAAGGGUUUGCAUUUAGUCAAAUGGCAGACUGCACAGUUACAUAAACAAUCUGGUGGACUUGGAAUCAGAAACUUGGGGUUGCAGAAUAGAUGUCUCUUGUCAAAAUGGCUAUGGAGGUUCAACACUGAGGAAGAAGCACUGUGGAGGGAGGUGAUAGUCAACAAGUACGGGUGAAUGGGAAUUGGGUCUCCAACUCUGUGAAUAGCACUUACGGGGUGUCAGCUUGGAGAACAAUAAGAAAUUUGUGGCCUGAUCUAAGUAGAAACAUAGUCUACAAGGUGGGAAAUGGGACGAAAAUCCUAUUCUGGAAAGAGAAUUAGAAUGGAAAUGAGGCACUGAUGGGCUGGGCUUAUUUCCUGACCUAUUUUCCUUGUGUACCAAUCCGGAAGAAACAGUGGCUGAGGUAUGGUCUAUUCAUGGAUGGAAUAUUGUGUUUAGAAGGCAUUUAAAUGACUAGGAGAUUGGGAGAGUGGCUGAGCUAUUACAUGUUCUCAAUGGUUUUAAUGGGUUAUCAGCAGAAAAAGAUUCUAUCGUAUGGAAACACUCUAGAGAUGGAAGCCUUUCUGUUAACAAGUUAUAUAUUAAGGAGGUGAAUGAGUAUCCAGGUGGUAAACUUGGCCCUUGGAAGCAGAUUUGGAGGAACAAGGUGCCAACCAAGGUAAAGUGUUCUCCUAGUUGGUUGCCAGAAGAGCAUGCUCCACUCAUGAGAAAUUGAAAAUGAGGUGUUUCUAUAUUGCUUUUUGGUGCUCUCUCUGUAAUGAGACUGAGGAAACCAACAACCAUUUGUUCCUCCAUUGCAAAGUGACAAUACAAUUGUGGAACCUUUUUUUGGGACUAACACAUAGAGAAUGGAUUAUGCCUGAGCAUACAUCAGAUCUACUUAGUUGCUGGAUCAGCAGAGGGAGGAGAAAAUCUAAGAAAAAGUGGUGGAGUAUAAUACCAUCAUGCAUUUGGUGGUGUAUUUGGAAAGAAAGAAAUAGCAGAUGCUAUGAUAACAAAGCUAAUUCAAUAGAUAAAGUCAAAUGGAACUGCUUGACUACUUUUUAUUUUUGGUGUAAAGAGGAAGGGAUAGAAGAAGCUGCACAAAUUUUGGAUUUUAUAGGCACUUUGUAAUCUAUUAGCUCUUUUUGUUUUUUCUCUUGUUGGAAACCAAUUUUUGGAGGUCUCCAGCAUAUCCUUAAUGCUGAUGAAUACAACAUUAUCUUUAUCAACAAAAAAAAAAAGUAUGUGAGUGAUUACCACUGUCCUUUCUCUCCUGAGUCUCCAUAUUUCUUCGAUAAUGGUCACUAUAUUCCAGGGAACUUCCCAAACCCUCUAUUACGUUUUUCAGUACUAGAGAACCUAUCUCAAUGAAUAUUCUCUCAAUUUGUUAGUCUUUUUGUACUUCAAAGCGAAUAGGAAUGCCAAAGCUUCAGCUUGUAUGUUUGUACUGAAAGGUUCUUCAAUCUCCUUAGCCUGUGCUUGUAUGACAUCUCCAUUGGUAUAUUUUACACAGAAUCCCCAAGAGCUCCUCCCAGGAUUUCCUCUUGAGGCCCCGACUGUGUUCACCUUCACCCAACCUGUGUCUGGUGGCUUCGAAAUAACUUUGAUGAUCUUCACGGUGUGAGAUUACCUAUAUAUGGCUUCCACCAUUGUGCAUAUUUGAGAUUUUUCUUCCUUGCCUUCAUGAACUGAAUCGAAGUGCACAUCACCUGAUAUAUUAGUUUGGUAUUGGAUAUUUUUCCUCCAUGCCUCAACGACUUCCUCUUUUUCCAUAGCUCCCACAAUAUAAUAGAUGGCACUGCUUGAAACAUAUAACUCACUUGCAGAUGUGCAGGCAUCCCCCACCAUAUGCUUAUCAAUUGAGUAAGGUGUAGAUUUUGAUUAACAUUGCAAUAAAUAGAAUUUGAUAUGAACAUUUGGCGAAUAAUAGAAGAAAAUACAAGCGCAGUGGAUAAGGAACAUGUCAGAAUCUACAAAAAUAUUUCCAAACAUACUGAGCUGCUGGAGAAUAUAGAGGAAUACAUGAUUUAUAUCUUCCACUCUAGGAUAUUCACAACAAUGACAUCUUGAUGGAAACUGAAUUCCCCAUUUUUUCAAAGUAACAUCCAGUGGCAAUUUAGCUUUCCACAGUCUCUACAUGAAAAAAGAGAUCUUGAUAGGCAAAUCUUUAACCACUUCAGCUUAUAUAUUUUGUUGACCUCCCAUCUUUGUCUCGUUACCUGGAAGGCAGACACUACUGUGAAUUUUCCUCUUGCUUCUAGCUUCCAGUUUCCAGUAUGGUCUAUCUAAUUCCUCCUCCUCUUUAGGUGGGUCCACCUUUUCUAGAAUAUGUUCUGCCAACCCUUGAGGAAGAAUUCUUCUCAAUGUAUUUUCUUGCCAUUGCCCCCCUUCAGCUGUUUCUUUGACUAGUAUAAUUGUAAGAUCACACUCAACAUUUGGUGGAAUGAUUUGACAUAAAGCACACAGUCCUGUCCAAUUGUCUAACCAGAAGUAUGAGUUGCCCUCUUUAAUCAACAUAAUAUAGUACAUUUCAUAUUUAUGAAUAUUCAGCUGACAUUAAUACAGACAAGUGCUAGGUUUAAAAGUUUUAAAUCUCCAUUUUCUACUGUCUAGUUCUUCAAGAUGAUUUACUAGAUGACGCACAAAUAGUUGGUCAUGUGUAAUUUAUUACAACCAAAUACUCUUUGUGCUUUCUUUUGUCCCCUCCUCUCUCUUAUUAAUUCUCUUGAUGAAAAUUACGUCAGGAAAGUUUAUGGAACUGGGAAAGAUUAUCCAAGCAACGGAAGUUGGGAACUUUAUGACAGAAGAGGUAAAUUUGAUGGCUCUUCUUAUAUAAAAGAAAUGUGCAGUAUUGAUAUGUGCUUCCUGCCAAAAGCUAGAUCUGUAGUUAGAUAGCAAGAGAUUCUUUUACAAUGAUGUCAAAUAUGUUUGUGUAGGUGGUAGAACAAGCUCAUCACAGUCGCACCAGAAACUGAAGUAAGAAAGUGAUGCAAUUGGUCACAGGUGUUAGUUUUUGCUUUAUUUCUCAAACCUCUAGCCUUUUUCUAGUGAAGAUAAGCUUAUUAAAUACUUUGCAACAUAGUCUAUCCGCUUCCUGGCUCAUUCCUCCCUUUCACAGUCACUACACCUUUCCAAAGGUUAUGUUCUAUCCUUGUGGAGACUAAUACGUUUCUACUGUUGCAAAGCUGAAAAUCCUGGGAAAUUGCUCCUUGAAAUGGCUUGUUCCAUAUCCAUCUGUCUUUACCCGAAUAGGAUUUUUCUACCACCUCCCAGUUUAAUUUGAAUGUGCUUUGGGAAUUUGCUCUAUAAGUUUCUGACGAAUUAUGUAUGGUCUUCACCUUUUUGUUUGUGCCACAUUAUACUAUUAACAGACGCUACUGCUUUUCUUCAUAACCUAUCUGUAGUUUUGAGUCGGUUUGAAUCCUCAGAACUUGACUUCAUGAUUUAUUAAGAUGAUAGAAUGACAAGUUUAUUAUUCCUUUUACUGCUUGGAGGAGGGAUGACUCAUAUUUGAUGUUUUGCUUCUUCUCCAAGUUUGAAUUUCAUGCGGCAAUGUUCAGUUUUUUGGAUUUGAACAUGUUCUACUCAAGCGGUGGAGCCUGGAUUUGAAGUUUAUGGGUUUUGAAUUUGUCACCAAACCUGGUAGUUCGUCUUAGUUAGUGGGCUCGCACUUAAAUAAUAAUAUAUAUUUAAUAAAAUUCUUGACACAAGUACAGGGUCUAAGCAAUAGCUACUGGGUUUGCCCGAACCUGUAGCUAAUACUCUCCCUCUGCCCCUAUUCUCCGGAAAACUAAUUGACCUAUUUGUUAUGCUGCAGGCUCAUAAAAUGAUCGGAUCAGUUCUCGUAAUAGUAUCUUGAUGUGGUUGCAUUGGAGCGGCGACAAGGAUUGGUUGUUGCAUCUGCAUGAGUGGUUUACAUUGAUGAUUUAUUAUGUAUCUGUGGAACAUUUCUAGUUAGAUUUUGAGAUCUUACUUGCAUAGCUUCUCUUUCGAAUUAACUUGGAUGAGUUUUUGACCAUUUUGGGCUUAAUUUAAACUUGGUCAAAUGUCCGUGGUGAUUUACAAGAAUCGUCUUGAACUUUUGACCUCAUUUGUACCACGAGCAAAACUUCCAGUUCAACAAGUUUUGACUUUUAGCUCAGAAGGUUUGUCCAUGGAGCAAGCGGGGAUUAAAAGUUCAAGAUCAUGUAAUUUUAAGAUGGGAAAGGGGUCAAAUAUGCCCCUAAACUAUUCGAAAAUGUUUAGAUAUACCUCCCGUUUGAAGUUUGGCUCAUCUGUGCCCUCGCCAUCCAACUUCUCACGUAGAUAUGUAGAGGCGUAUCUAGGAUCUCAAGAACAUGGGGGCACCAUUAUCUUCAAAAUAGGCAAUUAAUUCAAUUAUAUAAAUUUUACGGUGAG
rnacentral:lncRNA from 1 species